UACGUAGGGUGCGAGCGUUGUCCGGAAUUAUUGGGCGUAAAGAGCUCGUAGGCGGUUUGUCGCGUCGACUGUGAAAACCUACAGCUUAACUGUGGGCUUGCAGUCGAUACGGGCAGACUUGAGUUCGGUAGGGGAGACUGGAAUUCCUGGUGUAGCGGUGAAAUGCGCAGAUAUCAGGAGGAACACCGGUGGCGAAGGCGGGUCUCUGGGCCGACACUGACACUGAGAGACGAAAGCUAGGGGAGCAAAUGGG
rnacentral:rRNA from 1 species